GUCCUUUGCCAGCACGUCUACUAAAGUUGGGAUGAUACAGAGGAGAUUAGCAUGGCCCAUGCACAAGGGUGACACACAAAUUCGUGAAGCGUUCCAUGUUUUA